rnacentral:ncRNA from 1 species
GUGCUAUAUGAAAGGAGAAAAGCUUAGCAGUCUUCUUGACAAAGACGGAAGAGAACCUUGGGAUCCACAAUACCCAAACACAUAAGGCAUUUGUUUCAGUCAACUAGUGCUGCUCUAAUA